CAGACAGACAGACAGACAGACAGACAGACAGACAGACAGACAGACAGACAGACAGACAGACAGACAGACAGACAGACAGACAGACAGACAGACAGAGGGAAUGUGUAAUUUCACUGCCACAGACUGAACUAAACCCUCCCCACCCCACCACUGACCAGGGUCAAAAGAGAGAGAGACAGAGGGAGAGACACAAAGGUCAGGAGACUUUUGGCUUUGCCUUACUAUUGUGGAUGAUUUUAUACCUUUUGAGUGUGCAGCACCAGCAAACUAAGUGACUAGAAUGUAGAUAUCAUUUACACCACUUCACCACAUAUGAAUGAAUGAAUGAAUGAAUUAAUGGAUGGACGAAUAAACACACAAUGCUUAUGAUUUUUAAAUGGAUGCUCAUUGAUGAUCAUUUCUCCUUCUACUUUACUACUUGUAUCUUGUGGUUUUCAGUGAUACUGGCAGCAUGCCCAUCUUUUAAUGACAUCAUACCUAUAUUUUAAUGACAUCAUACCUAUAUUUUAAUGACAUCAUACCUGUGUUCCAAUGACAUCGUGAAAUGAUUUUUCGGAGAAUGAAAACAUUGCUUCACAUUGUGAAUGUGUACAGUACAAAAGAAGGAUUUUUGCUCCACCAGAUAUGCUAAUUAUUCACACAACGAUAGGCUACAGACUGGAUGUAUUCACUGUCAGGAAAACAAACACAUGCUAGACGUACCUGCUGUAGCGUUGUGAUAGAGGGAACACUAUUGCUUACACACAGGGAUAAUAGUUGAAUUAUGAAUACGUAUUCAUCUUGGAACAUUGCAUAAACAAACAUUAAAUACAGUUUGUAUUGCGGACAUGAAAUGAGAAGUGUGCAGCUUGGUUAACAUACAGUUCUAGACUACAGUUGUUUGCAGUUAUGAAGACGUAUCCAGUCACAACACGUAGGUUGCAGAUAAACACGUAUUGAUCCUACUCCUGGGCUGAAAACGUGCUCAAUACAGGGAUGCAUUCUGUAACUAUCUCCUUUUCAUAGCUAUUUACAGUUACAUCAUGUAUCAUUUAUUCCAAUAAAAUGAUGUUUUCAUGUGUAUGUGACUGUCAAUCGAUCAAUCAAUGAAUGAAUAUGUGUGUGUAUAUGUAUGUUGUACUUCUGCACCGCAACCAUCUGUGCCACCAAGACUCAGACCUUUUUGCAGUUAGAGGUAGGUAGGAAGGGUUAUUGCAGACCUUUUUGCAGUUAGAGGUAGGUAGGAAGGGUUAUUGCAGACCUUUUUGCAGUUAGAGGUAGGUAGGAAGGGUUAUUGCAGACCUUUUUGCAGUUAGAGGUAGGUAGGAAGGGUUAUUGCAGACCUUUUUGCAGUUAGAGAUAGGUAGGAAGGGUUAUUGCAGACCUUUUUGCAGUUAGAGGUAGGUAGGAAGGGUUAUUGCAGACCUUUUUGCAGUUAGAGGUAGGUAGGAAGGGUUAUUGCAGACCUUUUUGCAGUUAGAGGUAGGUAGGAAGGGUUAUUGCAGACCUUUUUGCAGUUAGAGGUAGGUAGGAAGGGUUAUUGCAGACCUUUUUGCAGUUAGAGGUAGGUAGGAAGGGUUAUUGCCAUACUGCUCUAUGAGGGUACUAGCUUUAGGACCCAGCAAAGAGCGGGCUGUUCAUUUCUCUGUAACUUCAUUGAGAGAGGCAGAGAGAGAAAGGCAG